AGCAGAUGUCAGCAGCAAGGACCCGUCCUAAAAGAAGAUGGGAGGCCCAAACACAACACUCUGCAGAGUACAAGGUUUUCAGGAAUGCACAUGUACAAUUAUAGCGGAAAUGCCUAUACCACCCAGAAAACCUGAAUUCACUACCAUGACUCCCUUAUAUGAAACUGAUGGCAUGACUUACAAGACUUACAAGCAUAAAAAAAUGAAUGGAGAGAAUGCACACCAAGUUCAGAAGACUGGUCACUCUCAGGAGGCAGAAAAUGGAAAGGAACUGAAAAAGAAGCAAAUACAGCAACAUGCCAACCCUGGCCUCUCUGGGUGGACCUGAUCUUCUGGGCAAUUUUAAGGGCAAGGAGUGCAAUGCAAGCAGCAGGCUACUCAAUGACUUUGAACCCAGGCCAACGUGGAUGGGGCCUCAGGAGAACUGGAGCUUCCUGUUUCUGUUGGCCUCCUGUUUCUCAUGUCAAGGUGUCUUCUGGGUGGUGAUACAGGCAGCAGGUUUAGUUGCUGAGUUCACUCUGCUACUGGUCUUGUGGCCUGAAUCAAGAUGAAAGGAGAUCUCCAUGUCUCCAGAAGCUUCCUCUU